rnacentral:rRNA from 1 species
GCAUAUCAAUAAGCGGAGGAAAAGAAACUAACAAGGAUUCCCCUAGUAACUGCGAGUGAAGCGGGAAAAGCUCAAAUUUAAAAUCUGGCGGUCUUUGGCCGUCCGAGUUGUAGUCUGGAGAAGUGCUUUCCGCGCUGGACCGUGUACAAGUCUCUUGGAACAGAGCGUCAUAGAGGGUGAGAAUCCCGUCUUUGACACGGACUACCAGUGCUUUGUGAUGCGCUCUCAAAGAGUCGAGUUGUUUGGGAAUGCAGCUCAAAAUGGGUGGUAAAUUCCAUCUAAAGCUAAAUAUUGGCGAGAGACCGAUAGCGAACAAGUACCGUGAGGGAAAGAUGAAAAGCACUUUGGAAAGAGAGUUAAACAGUACGUGAAAUUGCUGAAAGGGAAACGCUUGAAGUCAGUCGCGUUGGCCAGGACUCAGCCUUGCUUUCGCUUGGUGCAUUUUCUGGUUGACGGGCCAGCAUCGAUUUUGAUCACUGGAAAAAGGCUAGGGGAAUGUGGCACCUUCGGGUGUGUUAUAGCCCUUAGUCACAUACAGUGGUUGGGAUCGAGGACCGCAGCACGCCUUUAUUGGCCGGGGUUCGCCCACGUUCGUGCUUAGGAUGCUGGCGUAAUGGCUUUAAACGACCCGUCUUGAAACACGGACCAAGGAGUCUAACAUGCCUGCGAGUGUUUGGGUGGAAAACCCGAGCGCGUAAUGAAAGUGAAAGUUGAGAUCCCUGUCGUGGGGAGCAUCGACGCCCGGACCUGAACUUCGGUGAUGGAUCUGCGGUAGAGCAUGUAUGUUGGGACCCGAAAGAUGGUGAACUAUGCCUGAAUAGGGUGAAGCCAGAGGAAACUCUGGUGGAGGCUCGUAGCGAUUCUGACGUGCAAAUCGAUCGUCAAAUUUGGGUAUAGGGGCGAAAGACUAAUCGAACCAUCUAGUAGCUGGUUCCUGCG